rnacentral:rRNA from 1 species
GACAGAGGUGCCAAGCGUUAGGCGGAAUCACUGGGCUUAAAGCGUGUGUAGGCGGACUUGUAAGUACCUUGUGAAAUCCCACGGCUCAACCGUGGAACUACUUGGUAUACUGCUUGUCUUGAGCCACUUAGGGGCUGUCGGAACAAAUGGUGGAGCGGUGAAAUGCGUAGAUAUCAUUUGGAACGCCAAUGGUGAAAACAGACAGCUGGGAGUGUGCUGACGCUGAGACACGAAAGCCAGGGGAGCGAACGGG